rnacentral:rRNA from 1 species
UACGGAGGGAGCUAGCGUUGUUCGGAAUUACUGGGCGUAAAGCGCACGUAGGCGGCUUUUGUAAGUUAGAGGUGAAAGCCCCGGGGCUCAACUCCGGAACUGCCUUUAAGACUGCAUCGCUUGAAUCCAGGAGAGGUGAGUGGAAUUCCGAGUGUAGAGGUGAAAUUCGUAGAUAUUCGGAAGAACACCAGUGGCGAAGGCGGCUCACUGGACUGGUAUUGACGCUGAGG